ensembl:lncRNA
AAGCUUUCCCCUGCGAAUCUGGAACCUUCUGAUCUGGGUAUCAAGAGCACAAAAAAUCACCUGAUCACGUUAGAAAUCACUUCUUCUGGAUGUGGUUGCAGUCAGCCACACUCUCAUACUGUUCAGAUUCUACAAGAGCACUGCUGAACAGAGAAAGGUUCAAUUUUACACUGGAUUAGCCCCUGCCCUGAAACGUGUUCCUCAGGGAAUGAAGAAUUUCUGAUUUGUGGACCAGAGUUCUAAGAUACUUGAUUUACAAAAUCUGCAUGCCCAAGUGAGCUGAUAUUCAGGAGUAUUACACUCCCAGAAGAUCUCAGUCUUCCCCGGGUGCUACUUCAUUUGCUGACAGUUCUUGGUUGCUUCUGAAAAUAAAACCUUUUUGUUGGGGCUCUAAUGCAAGGAUCAUCCAAUUAUUUAGAAAUCUGCCUUGUUCUGGAUGUUUUGUGAUGAUUAAAGUGAUCAAGUCUUUUUGUUGUGGAUACUGUUCCCACUGUUUCUAUUUGCUGCUGUAUGGGAUGGGAAGUAAAAUGGCCUGGUAUAAAGCAUCUCUACAUUUACAUGAGGCCUAUUAUUAUUACUAUUUUAUUUGGAGUAAAAUCAUAUUUCUGUUUGACCAAUUGACUGUUUCAAGAGAAGAUGUCAUCAAUGAAUUCCUGACCAGCUGCUUUGCCUUUACUGGCUUUUUUUCUCUUCCUGGACGUGGACACAAGCAGCUUAUACAACAGUAUAAGCAUGAAAACCCCAUUUGGAAUAAAUAUGUUCUCUUUGCUGGUUCAGCCAUCUCAAGACCUGAUUUUCAGAGCUCUCCCUUGCCCUCGUUCAUGGCAGUAUCUUUUGCACUUUCUUCCAUGGGUGCAAAUCUUUCUAACUCUUGACUUCAGCAGUUCUGGCUGAGCUGUAAUUUUAACUGCUUGGCUGCAUGAUGCAGUCCCCAUUAGUGACUGUGGCAGACACCGCGUGGUGUAAUUUCCUGUUUUGAGAAUUAUCUUCCACAUUUUCAUAUGGUCCAAGAGACUCAGUCUACAUUGUUCUUCAGGCAAAGGAUAUGUGCAGUAUGGGGCCAAGGUGACACAAUCAGGAUCUCCUCAGUGUACUGUCUAAGCGGGGCCUCUGAAUAGUAACCAGAUUACUAUCUCCGACUUAUCCUAAACAUGCCUGCCUCCUUUUACAGUUUUUGUUACAGAGUAUUGUUGCCAGGAUGGAUUUAUGCUGGGCCAUUUCCCACUCCAGCUGCGUCAUUACAAUCAUUGUCAUGAGAACACAAAAGCAGAGACUGUGCCUUCUGAAAAAUAUAUUUGUCCCAUUGCACUGUUGUGACCUUUAGAGUACGAUGUGGCUUCGUCUGCUAGUGGCAACUGAAAUGAAGACUUCCUGAUGCUUGAUUACUGGGGAUCCUCAAAGGCCAGCAUGACUCCGUGUUGUCUCAAAUAAUCUGCCUGAAUAUGUGAAGCGAAACUGCCCAGCGCAGAACGAUUCCUAGAGGACGGUGGUUGAGAUACAGGCCUACAGCAGUUUUGUGCUAAAUAGAUGUU